rnacentral:rRNA from 1 species
ACUUGCUUCUUUGCUGGCGACCGGCGCACGGGUGGAGUAACACGUAUCCAACCUACCCUUUACUCGGGAUAGCCUUUCGAAAGAAAGAUUAAUACCCGAUAGCAUAAUGAUUCCGCAUGGUUUCAUUAUUAAAGGAUUCCGGUAAAGGAUGGGGAUGCGUUCCAUUAGGUUGUUGGUGAGGUAACGGCCCACCAAGCCUUCGAUGGAUAGGGGUUCUGAGAGGAAGGUCCCCCACAUUGGAACUGAGACACGGUCCAAACUCCUACGGGAGGCAGCAUG